rnacentral:rRNA from 1 species
AACGAACGCUGGCGGCAUGCCUAACACAUGCAAGUCGAACGAAGCCUUCGGGCUUAGUGGCGCACGGGUGCGUAACGCGUGGGAAUCUGCCCUUGGGUUCGGAAUAACAGUUAGAAAUGACUGCUAAUACCGGAUGAUGACGUAAGUCCAAAGAUUUAUCGCCCAAGGAUGAGCCCGCGUAAGAUUAGCUUGUUGGUGGGGUAAUGGCCUACCAAGGCGACGAUCUUUAGCUGGCCUGAGAGGAUGAUCAGCCACACUGGGACUGAGACACGGCCCAGACUCCUACGGGAGGCAGCAGUGGGGAAUAUUGGACAAUGGGCGAAAGCCUGAUCCAGCAAUGUCGCGUGAGUGAUGAAGGCCUUAGGGUUGUAAAGCUCUUUUACCAGGGAUGAUAAUGACAGUACCUGGAGAAUAAGCUCCGGCUAACUCCGUGCCAGCCGCCGCAGUAA